rnacentral:tRNA from 1 species
GCGCAACUGGCCCACGGUGCGGCCGCGCUCGCCUUGCAGGCGCGCCAGCGGCAGCCCGGUCUCCUGGUGCGCGCGUUCGAUCAGCGCAUCGCCCA